GGCCUACCAUGGUGGUAACGGGUAACGGGGUGUUAGGGCACGACACCGGAGAGGGAGCCUGAGAAACGGCUACCACAUCCAAGGAAGGCAGCAGGCGCGCAAAUUACCCAAUCCCGACACGGGGAGGUAGUGACAAUAAAUAACAAUACAGGGUUCUUUUGGAUCUUGUAAUUGGAAUGAGUACAAUUUAAAUCUCUUAACGAGGAACAAUUGGAGGGCAAGUCUGGUGCCAGCAGCCGCGGUAAUUCCAGCUCCAAUAGCGUAUAUUAAAGUUGUUGCAGUUAAAAAGCUCGUAGUUGAAUUUCGGGAUCAAUAUUUCGGUCAUGCCGUUGGUAUGCACUGUUAUCAUUGAUUUCUCACCUUCUAAAGAACCAUAAUGCCAUUAAUUUGGUGUUACGGGGAAUUAGGACUGUUACCUUGAAAAAAUUAGAGUGUUUAAAGCAGGCUCACGCUUGAAUACAUUAGCAUGGAAUAAUGAAAUAGGACAUCCGAUUCUAUUUUGUUGGUUUCUAGGAUCGAUGUAAUGAUUAAUAGGGAUAGUUGGGGGCAUUAGUAUUCAAUUGUCAGAGGUGAAAUUCUUGGAUUUAUUGAAGACUAACUACUGCGAAAGCAUUUGCCAAGGAUGUUUUCAUUAAUCAAGAACGAAAGUUAGGGGAUCGAAGACGAUCAGAUACCGUCGUAGUCUUAACCAUAAACUAUGCCGACUAGGGAUCGGAUGAUGUUAAUUUUUUAAUGACUCAUUCGGCGCCNUUACG
rnacentral:rRNA from 1 species